rnacentral:rRNA from 1 species
AAUCCGCCGAAUUCCCGUUGAUCCUGCGGGGGGCCAUCGCUAUCUCCUUCCGACUAACCCAUGGGAGGCUAGGGAUACCGGGUAAGGUAUCCCACCGCACGGCUGAGUAACACGUCGAUAACUCUGUCUCGGGAGGAGAAUAUCCUCGGGAAACUGAGGGUAAUUCUCCAUAGGAAAUGGGGUGUGGAAUUCCCCCAUUUCCGAAAAGGACUGGGAUAAUCCCUCCCAGUUCCGCCCGAGAGGAGGUCGGCGGCCUAUCAGGUAGUUGGCGGGGUAAUGGCCCGCCAAGCCUAAGACGGGUAGGGGCCGUGAGAGCGGGAGCCCCCAGAUCGGCACUGAGACAAGGGCCGAGGUCCUACGGGAUGCACCAGGGGCGAAACCUCCGCAAUGGGUGAAAGCCUGACGGGGGGAGGGAGAGUGCCUGGGGUCUUCCCCAGGCUUUUUGGGAGUGUAAAAAGCUCCCAGAAUAAGCAGUGGGCCAGAGGGGUGGCAGUCGCCACGGGAAUACCCCCGCUGCGAGCGAUGGCCUCGAUUACUGGGCCUAAAGGGGCCGUAGCCGGGCUGGUGUGACCCCUGUGAAAUCCACGGCAAUAAUUCCGUGGGCGUGCAGGGGUUACUACUAGUCUAGGGGACGGAAGAAGCCAAGGGUAUUCCCGGGGGAGUAGCGAAAUGCAGCAAUCCCGGGAAGACCACCCGAGGCGAAGGCGCUUGGCUAUUCCGAUCCCGACGGUGAUGGCCGAAAGCUGGGGGAUCAAAAGGGAUUAGAGACCCCUGUAGUCCCAGCUGUCAACUCUGUGGGCUACCUGCUGGGUGGACUUAGAGUCCACUCAGUGGGGUAGGGAAGCCGUUAAGCCCACCGCCUGGGGAGUACGGCCGCAAGGCUGAAACUUAAAGGAAUAGGCGGGGGGGCACACAAGGGGUGGGGUGUGCGGGUUAAUGGGACCCAACACCGGAAACCUUACCGGGAGCGACAGCAGGAUGAUGGUCAGGCUGAAGACCUUACCGGACACGCUGAGAGGAGGUGCAUGGCUGCCGUCAGCUCGUGCCGUGAGGUAUCCUGUUAAGUCAGGAAACGAGCGCGACCCGCACCCGUAGUUACGACGGAGAGGAUUUCCUCUCCGGUACACUACGGGGACUGCCGGGGAAACCCGGAGGAAGGCGCGGGCGACGGCAAGUCCGCAUGCCCCUAAUCUCCCGGGCUACACGCGCGCAACAAUGGGCGGGACAAUGGGAACCGACCCCGAAAGGGGAAGGAAAUCCCAGAAACCCGCUCUCAGUCCAGAUUGAGGGCUGUAACUCGCCCUCAUGACGGUGGAAUCCCUAGUAAUCGGGGGUCACUAUUCCCCCGGUGAAUACGUCCCUGCCCCUUGCACUCACCGCCCGUCAAGCCAACCGAGUCGUUUCCUGGUGAGGCCCGUUAAAGCGGGUCGAACCGGGAAACGGCGAGGGGGGCUAAGUCGUCACAAGGUAGCCGUAGGGGAACCUGCGGCUGGAUCUAGUU